rnacentral:miRNA from 1 species
UGCCCUAUCCGUCAGGAACUGU